rnacentral:rRNA from 1 species
AUUGAACGCUGGCGGCAGGCUUAACACAUGCAAGUCGAGCAGGGGAGGUUGCUUCGGUAACUGACCUAGCGGCGGACGGGUGAGUAAUGCUUAGGAAUCUGCCUAUUAGUGGGGGACAACAUUCCGAAAGGGAUGCUAAUACCGAAUACGCCCUACGGGGGAAAGCAGGGGAUCUUCGGACAUUGCGCUAAUAGAUGAGGCUAAGGCGGAUUAGCUAGUGGGUGGGGUAAAGGCCUACCAAGGCGACGAUCUGUAGCGGGUCUGAGAGGAUGAUCCGCCACACGGGGACUGAGACACGGCCCAGAAUCCUACGGGAGGCAGCAGUGGGGAAUAUUGGACAAUGGGCGGAAGCCUGUUCCAGCCAUGCCGCGUGUGUGAAGAAGGCCUUUUGGUUGUAAAGCACUUUAAGCGAGGAGGAGGCUCUUAAGGUUAAUACCCUUGAUGAGUGGACGUUACUCGCAGAAUAAGCACCGGCUAACUCUGUGCCAGCCGCCGCCGUAAAAC